AUGUACAUGCCUACAACAUAGUGUUAAUGCAUCGAAUCCUAUUAGAACUCCGUAGUUAAGUGCACUUAGGCUAGAGUAGUACUGGGAUGGGAAACCGCCUUGGAAGUCCUAGUGUUUUACAUC
rnacentral:rRNA from 1 species